UUGCGUACGCGCCUUUGUCAUCGAUUAGCAGUAAUGUAUGUAUGACAAAAAUAUAAAUCCAAUUGGACUUUCCGUGUACAUUAUAUACUAUGCCCCCACUAUUAGUCAGCGUCACUGUACGCUCAGCAGUUAUCGUAGUUAUGCUAUAUGAGGAACCGCAGAAAACGGAACAAAACAAACUGAUGAUGAGCGAAUGAAUAGGCAUCGAUUAUUAGAUUAUCUUUAUGAGCAGUUUAAAAUUAUUAUGAAUUCUGGAUUCUAAACUUAAAUCUAAUACUUAAUUUAUCCUUAUUAGUUGUUGAUAGUACGAACAUUGCACAGAGGUAACAGCGGUGAGAAUAUUGGUGUGAAUUGAAGAUCGAUUAUUGAAGAUUGUGACGCAGUGCGUGAUAGACCUACCAAAUCCCUGCAGGCUUAUACUAAGGCAGAUAUUACAUACGUACCGUACAGGACCGCUUUCCGGAUAUAACGGGACAUUGUAAA